UACGGAGGGGGCUAGCGUUGUUCGGAAUUACUGGGCGUAAAGCGCACGUAGGCGGCUUUGUAAGUUAGAGGUGAAAGCCCGGGGCUCAACCCCGGAAUUGCCUUUAAGACUGCAUCGCUUGAAUCCGGGAGAGGUGAGUGGAAUUCCGAGUGUAGAGGUGAAAUUCGUAGAUAUUCGGAAGAACACCAGUGGCGAAGGCGGCUCACUGGACCGGUAUUGACGCUGAGGUGCGAAAGCGUGGGAGCAAACAGG
rnacentral:rRNA from 1 species